UGGCCCUACGGGACGCAGCAGUGAGGAAUAUUGGUCAGUGGUCGGGAGACUGAGCCAGCCAAGCCGCGUGAGGGAUGAAGGUACAGAGUAUCGUAAACCUCUUUUGUCAGGGAACAAAGGCGGGGACGUGUCCCCGGAUGAGUGUACCUGAAGAAAAAGCAUCGGCUAACUCCGUGCCAGCAGCCGCGGUAAUACGGAGGAUGCGAGCGUUAUCCGGAUUUAUUGUGUUUAAAGGGUGCGCAGGCGGUCUGUUACGUCAGCGGUCAAAGCCCGGGGCUCAACCCCCGCCCGCCGUUGAAACUGGG
rnacentral:rRNA from 1 species